rnacentral:tRNA from 1 species
GGACGAGUAGCUCAGCUGGAUAGAGCAUCUGCCUUCUAAGCAGAGGGUCGCAGGUUCGAGUCCUGCCUCGCCCACCA